UGCCAGGCUGGGUCAUUCUAAUGUACUCUUGAAAGGAUAAUACAUAUUCAUUCUCCUCAUUUAGCACCGGAAUGACAAAAAACAGGUGAAAAUAUCGGCACCAAGGCACCAAGCAAGAUGGUUGCCAUUAUAAACAAAGCAUAUAAGGGAGUGACAAAGCUGAAAAAUGAUCAUUUUACAGAUGAAGAAACUGAGGCAAACAGGGUUAAGUGACUUGCCCAGGAUUCUACAGCUAAAGUCCGAGAACAGAUUUGAACUCAGGAAGAUGAGUUUUCCUGACUGGACCUGGCAUUCUACCUGUUGCACCAUUUAGCUGCUCUUGAGGUGUUUACAUUUGUUCAAAAAGACUAAUAGAAAACUUAUUUUCUUUCUAUCUGUUAAACUAUGAAUAUGAGUCAUAUGAAAUACUAAUAAUAUUGCUAUAUAAAUUGCUUUGCUGUAGUUUUUAAAUUGAAAGUACUGAGGAAGGAGUAUUAUUUAUUCUGUUUUUAUGUUUUAUUUUUUCAGUUACACAUAGAAACAAUUUUUGACAAUUUUUUGACAAUUUAAAAUUCAUAUUUUCUACCCCUCUACACUCUCUACCCUCCAAGGCAGUGAAUAGCCUGAUAUAGGUUAUACCCAUACUUCCAUUGAAUACAUAUCUCCAUAUUGCUUAUGUCAUUAUAGAAGACAUACAACAUACAAUAACAAAUCUCCUAAAGAAUAUAUAGUGGAAGAUGGUAUGUUUGGAUCUGUACUUAGAUUCCAACUUCUUUGGCUUUGGAGAGUAUUUUCUCCAUUAGUCCCUUGUGGUUAUUUUGGAGAUUUGCUUUGCUGAUAAUGAUUUAGUCCUUCACAAAAAAUCAUUGUAUAAUAUUUCUGUGACUGUAUAUGCUAUUCUCCUUGUUCUGCUCACACUUGUGCUGAAUCAGUUCAUAUGUCUUUUCAGGUUUUUCUGAAUGCAUUCUAUUCACUGUUCCUAAUGGUGCAAUAGUAAACACAUCAGGCAGUAUCAUUCUUAAUUAUCAUUUGAAAACAAAAUAUAUCAACAAGAAAAAAAAUCUUGAAUUUGAAAUGUAUUUCCUAUAAGCCCUUUGAAGAAAUCCAAAAUAUCCCAGCUCUUGACACUUUCUUCAGCAUGCUCAAAUUCUCACCAAGCCUCUGUUACUUCACUGUUUGUUUACUGAGAUCAAAGUCAUGGGAAUUAUAUUAAUUUAGAACUGGAAGCAAGAAAUGGAAUGAGGAAGGGAAUAUGAAUUUAUUAAGCACAUACUGUGUUUCAGACAAUAUCAUUAAGUGUUCUAGAGUUAUUAUUUCAUUUGCUUCUUACAACA
rnacentral:lncRNA from 1 species